rnacentral:rRNA from 1 species
UGGGGAAUCUUGGACAAUGGGCGCAAGCCUGAUGCAGCAAUGCCGCGUGAGUGAAGACGGCCUUAGGGUUGUAAAACUCUUUCGCUAGGGAAGAUAAUGACGGUACCUAGUAAAGAAGUCCCGGCUAACUCCGUGCCAGCAGCCGCGGUAAUACGGAGGGGAACAAGCGUUAUUCGGAUUUAUUGGGCGUAAAGGGCGCGUAGGCGGCUUGAUAAGUCAAAGGUGAAAUCCCUCGGCUCAACCGGGGAACUGCCUUUGAAACUGUCUGGCUAGAGUUCGGGAGAGGGUAGGGGAAUUCCUAGUGUAGCGGUGAAAUGCGUAGAUAUUAGGAGGAACACCAGUGGCGAAGGCGCCUACCUGGACCGAUACUGACGCUGAGGUGCGAAAGUGUGGGGAGCAAACAGGAUUAGAUACCCUGGUAGUCCACACCGUAAACGAUGAAUGCCAGUCGUCGGGUAGCAUGCUAUUCGGUGACACACCUAACGGAUUAAGCAUUCCGCCUGGGGAGUACGGUCGCAGAUU